GACGAACGCUGGCGGCGUGCUUAACACAUGCAAGUCGAACGAUGAACCCGGGGCUUGCUCCGGCGGAUUAGUGGCGAACGGGUGAGUAACACGUGAGUAACCUGCCCUUGACUCUGGGAUAACUGCGAGAAACUGUAGCUAAUACCGGAUACGACCCUCGGCGGCAUCGCCAGGGGGUGGAAAGAAUUUCGGUCAAGGAUGGACUCGCGGCCUAUCAGCUAGUUGGUGAGGUAACGGCUCACCAAGGCGACGACGGGUAGCCGGCCUGAGAGGGUGACCGGCCACACUGGGACUGGGACACGGCCCAGACUCCUACGGGAGGCAGCAGUGGGGAAUAUUGCACAAUGGGCGCAAGCCUGAUGCAGCAACGCCGCGUGAGGGAUGACGGCCUUCGGGUUGUAAACCUCUUUUAGUAGGGAAGAAGCGAAAGUGUCGGUACCUGCAGAAAAAGCACCGGCUAACUACGUGCCAGCCGCCGCCGUAA
rnacentral:rRNA from 1 species